CUCUGCUGCUUUUUCCUCUUUGUUCGGACUGGGAGCACCUGGCCCCAGAUAAAAGUGGUUGAAGAAUCUCCUGCGGGACCUGUGCCCUCAGUCUGUGCCACCCCCUCGGACGUGGCCUCACGUAGCCUAGCCUUUCUAGUGUUCUUUUCCCCUUACUUGCUGUUGUUCGCUGCUUGCGCCGGUCCCGGCAGGCUUUGUUUUCCAAGUGCCUCACUCCGACUCUGGCUGAGUGGGUCUGUCUAACUCACAUAAGUAAGCACAAAGGGCAGCUGCCCCCGCACGCGUCCCUGCAUCGCAAUCUCUGUAUUCUGGCGCACUGGAUAGUGUCUGGAGCCCCCAAGCUGCCCUACAGGGACUACUCUGCUCUUGGGAAGCUGAGGAGUCACCCGUGUCCCUUCCAAGUCGUGGUUCUCACUAUUCAUUAGUCCCAGCCUGUGUUCUGUUGCUGGAAGCUAAGGUUGCCUGGGGGCGGGGAGAGCGGCGAGCAGCGGCAGUCUCUAGUAGCUAGCACCAGGCAGAGUGCUGCACUAUUGCACUAUUGGUCAGACCUGUGUUUGGGGGAAUCGAGUGCUUGGAGCUCUGGGGCUGGCCAGCAUACCCUGGCCUCCUCUCCUUUCCCAGGCAGUUUUCUGCCAGACCCCCACGGGGAUUGGGAGGACCACGAGCCAGCUUUUGCAGCAUGCUUCUCCUAUAAUCAAAGAUGCUAGACUUGCUUUCGUGGGGGUUCAGGGAGAACCUAGACUAGUAGGACCCCAGGAGUGCUCUCGGGUCCCCAAGGUCUCAAGGAGGCUUUGGCUGACACCCUUUGCUUGGAUUUGUUGAGACCUACUCUGCAAACAUUGAGCCAGGCAUGGGAAACCAGACAACAAGUGACCUAGUAGGGGUUCUGGUUUAGAGGCAAUAAGGGAGAGGGAUAAGGCAUAAUGAAAGAGAGGUGAGGCAGUUGACAUCACAGCAGCAAAAGUGGAUAAGGCCACUGAUAAGGCAGAUCGGCCAGUCUAGGUGACAUCAGGAAGAAGAGACUUCUGCUCAUACCAGGCUUGCUUCACAGCUUCAGGCUCUGUGUGGGCAUUUCCCAUGGUUAUUAGCUGUUUCUUCUAGUGAAGCCUUCCCUCUGGAAAGGAAGUUACAUAAAGAGAAAACACUUGCUGGAGAUGGGGGAUGCUUCAACAGAGUUGCCUACAAGCUGGGAACCCAAGUCAUGCAGCUUUCAUGACUUGUCACCCAGGCUGAUGUGAGCCUUUGGCGAUGCAGCUGCUUGGGCCACCUACACUUUUGAAAAGCCAUGCAACACCUGUGUGGUUCAGGCCAAGGCUAGAGAGACCAGGCUGAGGGAAGGAACUGUCGGGACCCAACUGCAAAGAACUUUGGAAGAAGGCGUCCUACACCUUGCACAGACCUGAGAUAAGGUCAGGAAUUGGGACUCAC